CUUCUCAUAUAGCUGCAGGUCAUGACUGAACGUCGGUGUCGAUCGUAAUGCACGUGGAACAUCGUAAGGGCAGAACCUAGAAGUAUGGCUUCCACUGGAGAACAAGGGCCGAGUGAAAGUGUUGGUCACACGAAACCUCGUAUCUCCAUGACUGGUGGCCACCACACAUUUUCGCAUAGUGCCAAGCAAAUGACCUUAGAUCAUCUUGCGGAUGUGCGAGGCAGUAACCGCACACCCCCGCCAUCCCCCACAGUACCUUUGAGGAUUGAUGAUUGGAAUAGUGUGCAGCACGCUGUUGUUGGAAUGUUUCAAGCUAAGAAGCUCACAUGCGAGGAGAUGACCAUGCUCUGUGCAAGUAUUAGGAAUAUGUCAAAUUCUGAAGUUGGUCCACUCCUGUUUGAAUAUUAUCAGAAUAAGCUUUUAAUGAAGGGAAUGGUUAUACUACGGGAAAAGAUUAGAAAGAAUGAAGGUAUGGCGCUGAUAUACAGUAUUGGACACGUUUGGAAUAGUUUCUACAAAGAUAUUCUGUGUAAUCUUCAGCUGUUGUUUUACCCAAUUCCUGUGAAAGGAUUAACCAUUAGACAAACGACACUGAUAAGCUUCAGGGAUGUUGUUGUGCUUAAAGUAAAACUAUUUGACGCUUUAUUAGAAGCACGGCAAGAGGUUCCUGCAGCUGUAAAGCAAAUGCUACUAGUCCUACAGAGCGUCCAUGACUUUGACACAGUUCCACACGAGAACUACCUUAAACUUGAAUCGCUUGUCGGGAUGACGGUGAAACCUCAUCUUGGAUACAUGGGCCUGUACGUAGGACAAUCAGAUCCACUGAUACCCGUGGGUGAACUAGUCACAUUGCGUCCGGACAAGAAUGCUAAAAAAAAAAAUCUGAGCGAACACGUUAGUUUUCACUGAAAUAUGAGCAUCGUACCUCAUUCCAAAACGAUAAACAUGAUCAUUUUAACUGCACCUAAGAAAUGGAGCACCUAUUAUAUCAGGGGCGGGAAGCCAACAACUGAGGCCGACCAGUCUACCACCGAUGUCACUGAGUCAAAAGUCUGAC
rnacentral:misc_RNA from 1 species